ACCCCGCAGUCAGCGCUAUCGUCUCUUCAUCCUCCAGCAUCGGUGUAGAGGACGCGACCCAGCACCUGCGGGACAUCCUCAAGCUGGACCAGCUGUGAAGCUCAGUGAAUGAGAACCAGAGACCAUCAAUUUCAUGUAACAGAGACCUGAAUGGACUGCUGGUGCCUGCCCCAUAGUGGCUGGAAAAGGUACCUUCUCUGGGUAAGCCAGUGCAUCAGAGCAUUUCUCUGGGAGCCCUACAGGAGAAACAAGUCAUCUGCCUUUCUGGUGAUGACAGUUCUGCUUGCAUAGUGAUAACAGCAAAAGAUGUGGAGGUAGUGGCCAGCAGUGAUUCCAGCAUCACCAGCAAGGCCAGAGGGAGUAACAACGUAAGGA